rnacentral:rRNA from 1 species
GGGCGCAWKYCUGAUGCAGCANACGCCGCGUGAGGGAUGGAGGCCUUCGGGUUGUAAACCUCUUUUAUCGGGGAGCAAGCGUGAGUGAGUUUACCCGUUGAAUAAGCACCGGCUAACUACGUGCCAGCAGCCGCGGUAAUACGUAGGGUGCAAGCGUUAUCCGGAAUUAUUGGGCGUAAAGGGCUCGUAGGCGGUUCGUCGCGUCCGGUGUGAAAKUYCAUCGCUUAACGGUGGAUCCGCGCCGGGUACGGGCGGGCUUGAGUGCGGUAGGGGAGACUGGAAUUCCCGGUGUAACGGUGGAAUGUGUAGAUAUCGGGAAGAACACC